rnacentral:rRNA from 1 species
GAUGAACGCUAGCGGCAGGCUUAACACAUGCAAGUCGAGGGGUAUGGUUCUUCGGAACCAGAGACCGGCGCACGGGUGCGUAACGCGUAUGCAAUCUACCUUUUACAGAGGGAUAGCCCAGAGAAGUUUGGAUUAACACCUCAUAGUAUAACAUGACCGCAUGGUCGAGUUAUAAAGUCACAACGGUAAAAGAUGAGCAU